rnacentral:rRNA from 1 species
GAUGAACGCUGGCGGCGUGCCUAAUACAUGCAAGUCGAGCGAAUGGAUUAAGAGCUUGCUCUUAUGAAGUUAGCGGCGGACGGGUGAGUAACACGUGGGUAACCUGCCCAUAAGACUGGGAUAACUCCGGGAAACCGGGGCUAAUACCGGAUAACAUUUUGAACCGCAUGGUUCGAAAUUGAAAGGCGGCUUCGGCUGUCACUUAUGGAUGGACCCGCGUCGCAUUAGCUAGUUGGUGAGGUAACGGCUCACCAAGGCAACGAUGCGUAGCCGACCUGAGAGGGUGAUCGGGCACACUGGGACUGGGACACGGCCCAGACUCCUGCGGGAGGCAGCAGUAGGGAAUCUUCCGCAAUGGACGAAAGUCUGACGGAGCAACGCAGCGUGAGUGAUGAAGGCUUUCGGGUCGUAAAACUCUGUUGUUAGGGAAGAACAAGUGCUAGUUGAAUAAGCUGGCACCUUGACGGUACCUAACCAGAAAGCCACGGCUAACUACGUGCCAGCCGCCGCGGUAA